GCAUUGCAUAAAAUUUAAACCAAAAACAAAAGAAAAAAAAAAACAGAUUAGCUUGGUUUUUUAAAAGGCAAUGGUCUUGUUUUAUCUUUCAGCCCAAGAACUUGCCAGUCAAGAUGAAAAACUUCUUCUAAUGGAAUCCAGCUUUAAGGCUACUCAAGAGCAGCUAACUGAGCAAAUAGCAGAAACAGUUCGCCAAGAACAGAACAGUAGAAAACCCCAGGCAGAGCCGAAGACAGUGACAGAAGGGAUUAUUGCUUCUGAAGAAGAAAAAAAUGAUUACAAGUGCAUCGCAUUUUUAGAGAAACCCACUGCCUGGCCUCUGGUGGACACUUAGGCAUAGAAUCAGCAUUUGGGGAAAAGCCAAAUCAAAGAGAGGUGAAUUCUUUACCGCUGAACUGGAUGAGAUGUUUACAUGGACAAAAAGAUUGAGAAGCAAAAACACAAUGAGAAAGCGUAUUUUUGGCCUAGAAAAUGGUAAGUGAUUUUAUUUUAUAGAGAAUAGUUGGAUGUAUAGAAAGGCAGAUUGAAACCACAUUGUAGAUAGUCUCUAUGCCCCUUCUGGGAAUUUAUAAUUUGCUUAGAAGUAAUGGGGAGAUUUUCAAGAGUUAUAAUAGUCAAGGGCAUAUAAUCGCACUAAUGUUAGAGAAGCAAUGGGCUGAAUCUCUCAUCAUUUUCUCUUAAUAUUUCAACUAGGUAAUUCCUAUUCAUCCUUAAAUAUUGGUAUCUAGGUCACCUCCUCCCUAUGACUGCCUCUUCACUCAUUCCAAACUGAAUUAUGUUAAAUAUUUCACAUUCUCUAUGGGACCUAAUGCAUACACUACUAUAGUAAGCCUCUCCCUUAUUUUACCUAUUAUUGUAAUGGUAAGACCCAUUUAUCCCAAUGGCUAGCUCUGUGUUCAUUGCUACCUUCCUGGACCAUGAUAGGCACUGCACUCUUUUAACUAAUUUUUGGUAAACUAGUACUUAAUGAAAGGAAUGAACUUAGCUAUGUGCCUGGUUCAAUAUAUCAUCCAUCUCCUAGUAAAAUGUUCAGAAUUGCUGUCCUGACUUCUAGCAUGUACUGCAAAUACCAAAAGAAGACUUGAUUUUUUAUCUAAGGGUAGUAACAAUAUUAGCCCUUGGCUGAGAUACGGUCAGACAAUUUAUUCAAGUUUGAGAGAAAUGGAUUUGAAAAUGGAAGCUUUAUUGACAUAGAUGAGAGUUGGUAAAUUGCAACAAAUUGACACAGAAAUGUAUAGUGAGCAAGAGGUACCUGCAUUAUCGCUUUAAAUAUUUGGUGAUGCUAUGGUCUAUAUGUGUGUGUUCCCUCAAAUUCUCAAGUUUAAAUACUAAUUCAAAGAGUGGUGGUAUUAAUAAGUGAGGUCUUUGGGUGAUUGUGUUAUAGGGGUACAACCUUCAUGAAUAGAAUUAGUGUUCUUAUAAAAGAGCCCUGAGAAAGGUCCCUUGCCCCUUCUAUCCUGUGAAGACAUAAGAAAAAGGCAGUCAUGUGUGAAGCGAGAAACAGGCUUUCACAAAGCAUAAAAUCUGCCAGUGACUCCAUCUCUGAUUUCCUAGCCUCUAGAACUCUGAGAAAUAAAUUUCUGCCCUUUAUAAUCCAUUGAGUUUAUAGUGUUUGUUAUAAUAGCUCAAAGUCACUAAGACAGGUGGGGAGAAAGAAAAGAAAAGAGAGAAAAAGUAGAGUAGCUGAUUAAAAGGGGUGAGGAAGGACUAAGUCCUCAUGCAACAUCGACUUGAAUUUGACGAUAGACGAAAGAUAAAGAAAACAUGGACAAGGAAGAUACAAGACUGAAAGUGAGUCACUGAUGGGGCAAGUAUUCAGAACAUAGAGCAGACAUUUACAACGUGUAAAGAUAGACACUUACAAGGAUAUGUUUUACAUCUGAGAGAAGAUAUGAGUGAAUGAUGGGUACAGAUGUCAGGAAAUGAGAGUAGCUUUUGAAAUAAAGUCAUCUGACAGAAUGAAUAUAGCAGGGGUUUAGAGGACUGUACACAGGACUGUCAAAAAUGACUCAAACCAUUGAGAAUUGAGUGGAAAAUGAGAAGGCAGCAUAUACUAAUGUGUAUGUGCUGAAGGUAAAUUAGACUCAUAAGAUAUUGAGGGGCAAGGAUUAACUGAGCUAAAGUGAAUUUGAAAAUACCAAAUUAGCUUAUUCAACAAUUAUUUCCUUAGAUCCAGCUUUGCCUCUAACACUGAUCUUAUGUUUAAGCAGUGAACAAAAUAACUAAAUCCUUGCCCUCAGAAAGGCUACAUUCUAGAAGGGAGUCAGAUAACAAAAAAAGAAAAAAAAAUGUUCAAUAAAAUUAUACAAU